AGUGGAAAGGGCCGCGUUCCUGGCAGCCUUCUCUGUCAGAGUGCGCGGAGCCAGCUCCGGGCACGUUUGCCCAGAGUUAGUCACGAAGGGAUCGAAGAGAGUCCCAGUCCUCGAGGCUUUAUCGCUUUCUGUGCGCCCCUUGAGGCCGACACGUUGAUUUUUUCACAGAACAAUUUGGCAUCUCCUUGGUCUGUGCUAGGAAUAAGCUCUAGCGUUGUCCUCAAUCAAGUAGCAAAGAUAGCCGUGUAAACGGAUCUCGACACAGAGUGAUGACUGCAACAAAAAGAAGCGUUAUGAGGUUAUGUGUAACAAGGGUUUUAGAAUUUGGAACUCAAGACUCCUAGAACCUGGGUUACUGGUGGCUGAUGACAGCUUUCUGAAGGGAGGGCCACAAACUCCUGCUGAACCGAUGAUUUUCCAAGCCACGUUAUUUCUUUCUGCCUUCCCUGAUGUCCAGUUAUCCAGCUCUUCCUUAAAUGCCAUAAGGUACACCCAUCUCUCUCCAGUAAAUUCCACUCUUGGCCUCAGCUAAAAAACAUAUACACCCUAGUACAGUCUAAUUGCAGUAAGAAAUCUUAACAGAGGCCAAUGCUGUGUUAUACUUAAGUCUGUGUUUGGUAUUAGUAGGCACUUAAUAACCAUUGAAUGACUGCAUGAAUAAAUUUCUUUGCAGAACUGUGUUCUUUCCAAGAAAAAACUGCCCCUCUGAUCAUUUUUUCUCUUCAUGAAAGGUAGUCUCAAAGAAAAAUUAAUAUAGCUGGGUCCCAAGGAAGCAAGCUAUAUAUGUUUUAUAUGUCUCGUUACUAGAAAGCCCACAGCAUUGUAGCACUAGUCUGAACUAGGAGUAGUAAAUUAGUGGCUAAGAAGAUGCCAGAUCCAAGCAAUUACCCCAAGGUGGAAGGUGGAGUCUCAGGAAAGCAAAGCUAUGUUUCUGAAGUGGUAAUUGAGUUAUAUGUAUUAACUUGGCUGAAUAUGUUUUAAGACAAUGUAUCUUUUCAAAAAAUGUUAACAAAAAGAAGGUGAAAUGUAGGGAAGGUAAAGCCAGAGAACAUGAUUUUGACAGUCUCCAGAGAAAAGGGCAAGCUAAUCUGCAGACUUUUGUAGGAUAUGUAUUCAGUAGCAAUGAGGACAUCCUGUUGACUUGAUAUUAGCCAUUAAGGGUCACACACACUCUAUCUUUUGCCACUGGCCAGUACGGUGAUCAAACCCUGGCCCUUGGUCUUAUCAACACUAUGCUCUAACCAACUGAGCUAACUGGCCUGCCCAGUUCUUUCAACAGACUCACUCUGGUUCUUUUACCAAGCAGUCAUCUGAUUAUGAUUUUAGUAUGUUAAGGAGGAAACUUGCUGACAGUAAAUAAAAUUGAAAUCUGGCUU